GGUGAGGUGUCCGAGUGGCCGAUGGAGUUGGUCUUGAAAACCAAUGUAGCGGAUUUCCGUUACCGUGGGUUCGAAUCCCACCCUCACCG
rnacentral:tRNA from 1 species